GGGGAUUUGGCUCUGUGGUAGAGCGCUUGCCUAGCAAGCGCAAGGCCCUGGGUUCGAUCCCCAGCUCCG
rnacentral:tRNA from 1 species